rnacentral:rRNA from 1 species
AUGAGUUGCCUUGCAUGCAUGCAUAUACGGGGGAGUGCAGCUCCCCGCCGGCCCCGGACGGCUUGGCUGGGUAUCCGUCGCUUCUCGGGGUUUUUAUUGCUUGUAAUAAUGACUUUAUGUAAAGCUCCUUUGCUCUCUCUAUCUGCUUAUUAUCACGAGUUACUAUUAUCUUCGGGAUAUCGAGUUCCUCGAAAGCACCAGCGAUGUUGUUUGUUUGCGUAUGGUGUGGUAGCUGCCAAGGGCGCGCGCAUGCAAGCGGGAGGUUGUAGACGCUGUUUGCCUUUGACCACCAGGAAUGCCCAAGGAGCCACUGGCAUAUGCUCUUUGGUUUGA